rnacentral:rRNA from 1 species
AGCUUGUUGGUGAGGUAAUGGCUCACCAAGGCGACGACGGGUAGCCGGCCUGAGAGGGCGACCGGCCACACUGGGACUGAGACACGGCCCAGACUCCUACGGGAGGCAGCAGUGGGGAAUAUUGCACAAUGGGCGAAAGCCUGAUGCAGCGACGCCGCGUGAGGGAUGACGGCCUUCGGGUUGUAAACCUCUUUCAGCAGGGAAGAAGCGAGAGUGACGGUACCUGCAGAAGAAGCGCCGGCUAACUACGUGCCAGCAGCCGCGGUAAUACGUAGGGCGCGAGCGUUGUCCGGAAUUAUUGGGCGUAAAGAGCUCGUAGGCGGCUUGUCGCGUCGGAUGUGAAAGCCCGGGGCUUAACUCCGGGUCUGCAUUCGAUACGGGCAGGCUAGAGUUCGGUAGGGGAGAUCGGAAUUCCUGGUGUAGCGGUGAAAUGCGCAGAUAUCAGGAGGAACACCGGUGGCGAAGGCGGAUCUCUGGGCCGAUACUGACGCUGAGGAGCGAAAGCGUGGGGAGCGAACAGGAUUAGAUACCCUGGUAGUCCACGCCGUAAACGUUGGGAACUAGGUGUGGGCGACAUUCCACGUCGUCCGUGCCGCAGCUAACGCAUUAAGUUCCCCGCCU